UACGUAGGGCGCAAGCGUUGUCCGGAAUUAUUGGGCGUAAAGAGCUCGUAGGCGGUUUGUCGCGUCUGCUGUGAAAACUCGAGGCUCAACCUCGGGCUUGCAGUGGGUACGGGCAGACUAGAGUGCGGUAAGGGUGACUGGAAUUCCUGGUGUAGCGGUGGAAUGCGCAGAUAUCAGGAGGAACACCGAUGGCGAAGGCAGGUCACUGGGCCGCAACUGACGCUGAGGAGCGAAAGCAUGGGGAGCGAACAGG
rnacentral:rRNA from 1 species